rnacentral:rRNA from 1 species
UGGGGAAUAUUGCGCAAUGGAGAAGAACUCUGACGCAGCAAUACCGCGUGAGCGAAGAAGGUCUUCGGAUCGUAAAGCUCUGUUAUCAGGGAAGAAGAAAAUGACGGUACCUGAUGAGCAAGUCCGGCUAACUACGUGCCAGCAGCCGCGGUAAUACGUAGGGGACAAGCGUUGUCCGGAAUCACUGGGCGUAAAGGGCGCGCAGGCGGUGAUUUAAGCAGGAGGUGAAAGGCUACGGCUCAACCGUAGACAUGCAACCUGAACUGGGUCACUUGAGUAUUGGAGAGGCAGGCAGAAUUCCUGGUGUAGCGGUGAAAUGCGUAGAUAUCAGGAGGAAUACCGGAGGCGAAGGCGGCCUGCUGGACAAAUACUGACGCUGAGGCGCGAAGGCGUGGGGAGCAAACA